rnacentral:tRNA from 1 species
GGGGGUACAGAAGGGCUGAUCAAGCGUCUUGAAAUCCGUUGAGGCGAAAGUCUCCGGGGGUUCGAAUCCCCCUCCCUCCGCCA